GGCGCGCAACGUUAUAUAGUGAUAUUUUGUUUCCAUUCAAACCUUCUUCUUUCAAGCGGCAAUGAUGCUGAACUCGAAUCUACAGAAAUAGAAAUAUUCGGAUUUUUAUAUAUAUAUAGAAAUAUGGAAAAAAAAAUCAGGAGGAAGUUUUCUUAGGAAAAAAGAAGAUUUUUGGAAGUUUGCUUUUUAGUAUACACGAUGUGUUUUGGAAAGAAGAACAGAUCAUUAAUAUUAAAAGAGGAUGCCUUUUUGAUAUGGAUAUUUCAUUAAAUAAUUGUUAGCGGGACCAAGAUGUCAGUGGUGAAUAUUAUUUCUUCUUCCUGACCUCCAGCAUCAAUGGAGCAGCACCACCCCUCUGCUGGGGUACCUAGGGGUGCAGGGGCUACGCAAGUCAGACGAGAACUUAGCUUGGACUCGCAAUGCCAAAGUUCAGAUAACUGUUGGAAAUUUGUAACAAGCUCCAGUAGGAACUUGGGUAUCGUCUACUGAAAUCCAGCGUGUUUUGACAGCAAAUUCUGUGACCAAGUUGGCAACACUGAAGACUUUUUGGGAUGCUCCAGGAGCAGGUUCGGAUGACGUACGAACAUUCUGAGAAAUUUAACCAGAAAAUUCCAGAAAUCUCCUUCCUAAAAAGCUAGGUGCAGUGAUGUAAAGUCCGACAAGGAUUAGAAAAUAGUUUAGUUCUGAACUCAAAAGUUGUUUCACUAUAAAAUGUUUACUGUGAGCAUUUCGUAAACCUUAACAUAAUAUAGCUUUAGCAGUUCUGUAUUUUUUAAAUUUGACAUGAGAAAUAUUCCACAGCACAUAAUUCUGUAUUUUUGCAACACUACGUAUCGUUUCAAUAAAAAUGUUGGCUGUUU